AGAAGCAAUAAUGUUGAUAUGAGUAAUAAGAAUUAAUUCUCCCAGCACGCGUGUAUAUCAGAACGAAUAAAUCACUGAUAGUUAACAAAACCAACAUAAACAACCCACUUAUAAAUUAUAAUAUAAAUUGUUAAUCCAACACAGGAGUGCAAAUAAGGGAAAGAUUUAAAAGAAGUAAAAGGAACUCGGC
rnacentral:rRNA from 1 species